CUCGUCGCGAACUCUGGAUGACCUUGGCCAAGUCGCUUCAGUUCCCCGAUCUGGCGACUUCGUCUGUAAAAUGUGACUAGCAUGCAGAUACCCAUGCUCUGACUUUCUGCCUCUCCACUGACAUGGCCCACCGGGGUGGGGAGAGGGACUUCCAGACUUCAGCUCGACGCAUGGGCACCUCGCUGCUCUUCCAGCUUUCAGUGCACGAACGGGAGCUGGACCUGGUUUUUCUGGAUCAUAGCUAUGCCAAGCCUUGGAGUGCCCACCCAGAUGCCAGUAGUGCCCGCCCCACCCGCAUGCUCUUUGUCACUCCCCGGCGGCAGCACGAAAGUACCAUUGAAUCAGACGUCCCAAUAGAUGUGGAGACGGUCACAUCAACGCCUGUGCCACUCUAUGACAAUCAGAAGGCACGCAGUGUGAUGAAUGAGUGUGAACGGCAUGUCAUCUUUGCCAGGACUGAUGCAGAUGCCCCUCCUCCACCAGAGGACUGGGAGGAGCAUGUCAACAGGCUUGUAAUGAGCCAGUGCUGCGCCGUGUUGCUGUGGACAAGUGUGCAAGGAGAGUGCGGCAGGCUCUGGCAAGUGUGAGCUGGGAUACCAAGCUGAUCCAGUGGCUGCACACCACCCUUGUGGAGACCUUGAGUCUGCCCAUGCUGGCAGCCUACCUGGAUGCUUUGCAGACGCUGAAGGGGAAGGUCAUUUUGACCUUUUGUGGGUAGCAUGGAAUUCGCAGAUAUUUCUUCUCAGUAUCCCAACCUUGAUUGACCGGAUGCUUGUAUCAUCCAACACGAAGACUGGGGCUGCAGGAGCUGAGGCCUUGUCUCUCCUACUGAAGAGGCCCUGGGACCCUGCUGUGGGUGUGCUUUCUCAUAACAAACCAAGCAAACUCCCUGGCUCUCCGCUGAUUCUCAUCGCCUCCUCUGGUCCCUCCAGCUCUGUGUUUCCCACUUCACGCCGCCACCGCUUCUGGCAAUCUCAGCUGUCCUGCUUAGGCAAGGUCAUCCCUGUAGCCACCCAUCUGCUGAACAAUGGCAGUGGGGUAGGAGUUCUACAGUGUCUCGAGCAUAUGAUUGGGGCAGUGAGAAGCAAAGUGCUGGAGAUUCACAGCCAUUUCCCACACAAACCCAUUAUCUUGAUUGGCUGGAACACAGGAGCUUUGGUGGCCUGUCAUGUGUCAGUAAUGGAGUAUGUCACUGCAGUUGUCUGCCUUGGGUUUCCUCUGCUUACCGUGGAUGGCCCCAGAGGGGAUGUGGAUGAUCCCCUCUUGGAUAUGAAGACUCCAGUCCUCUUUGUCAUUGGUCAGAAUUCCCUUCAAUGUCACCCUGAAGCCAUGGAGGACUUCCGGGAGAAGAUUCGAGCUGAGAACAGCUUGGUGGUGGUUGGGGGAGCUGAUGACAAUCUCAGAAUAAGCAAAGCAAAGAAGAAAUCAGAAGGGUUGACUCAGAGCAUGGUGGACAGAUGUAUUCAGGAUGAGAUUGUGGACUUUCUGACUGGAGUGCUCACUCGUGCUGAGGGUCACAUGGGCUCUGAACCUCGGGAUCAGGAUGCUGAGAAGAAGAAGAAGCCCCGCGAUGUGGCCCGCAGAGACUUGGCCUUUGAAGUCCCUGAGCGGGGCAGUCGACCUGCCUCCCCCGCUGCCAAGCUGCCCGCCUCACCCUCAGGCUCAGAGGAUCUCUCCAGUGUGUCCAGCAGCCCCACCUCCAGUCCCAAGACCAAAGUGACCACAGUGACCUCUGCCCAGAAGUCCAGUCAGAUUGGAAGCUCUCAGCUGCUGAAGAGACAUGUGCAGCGGACAGAAGCUGUGCUGACCCACAAACAAGCUCAAGUUCCCAUUUCAUCAGAACCACCAGAGGAAGGAGAGAAAGAGGAUCUUAGGGUUCAGCUGAAGCGACACCAUCCCUCAAGUCCCCUUCCUGGCAGUAAGACCACCAAGCGACCGAAGAUCAAGGUGUCCCUUAUCUCCCAAGGGGACACAGCUGGAGGGCCUUGUGCUCCUUCCCAAGGAAGUGCUCCAGAAGCUGCAGGUGGGAAGCCCAUCACCAUGACACUGGGGCAGGCUUCAGCAGGGGCCAAGGAGCUCACAGGACUUCUCACCACAGCCCAGUCCAGUUCUUCUGAAGGUGGAGUCUCAGCCAGCCCAGUCCCUUCAGUGGUCUCCAGCAGCACUGCACCCAGUGCCUUGCACACACUGCAGAGCCGCCUGGUGGCCACAUCUCCUGGAAGCUCCCUCCCAGGGGCCACAUCAGCCAGCAGCCUCCUCCAAGGCCUCAGCUUCAGCUUGCAGGAUAUCAGCAGCAAGACCUCUGGCCUUCCAGCAAAUCCCUCCCCAGGACCAGCCCCACAGGCUUGAAGGUCCCCACCACCAUUACUCUGACACUUCGUGGCCAGCCGAGCAGGAUCACCACGCUGAGCCCUAUGGGCUCAGGAGCAGCCCCAUCCGAGGAGUCCUCUUCCCAGGUGCUGCCCUCCAGCUCACAGCGCCUGCCUCCAGCACCCUGAAGAUGCGGUGUGAUAUGUCCUCCUUACCAAGUUGGUGAUGGCUGCCUCAUGGUGGGCCCUGGACACGUGCGUGGUCCUGCUGAGCUGUCCACGUGUCCGAAGACCUGUUUAAGACAGUCAUUUUUGCCUCUCCGCCAACUGUCUUCAGAGAAACCAUUAGGUUAGGUGAUACGGUGCCAGCAAGGGAAGCACCAUUGUCCAGGAUCUGCAAAUCUGGUUCCUGGGAUCCCCAGACUCCUCAGCAGAUCUGGCUGUACAUGGAUUAGAACCACUUCUUCCCCCGCUUAAGCUGUGGUUUGACCCAAGAGUCAUAGGACUGCCUGCUGCAUUUAAUGAAGGUGUUUCCUUUUGGAAGUCUGUGCUACCCUCUGUGCCUAGUUGGGAGGAGACAUCCGUCUGGUCCGGGGUUUCGGGAGUUAGAAUGGAAAGCCCUUUGCUAAAGACUGGAGUCAUCCUGGCCUGCCAACUGGUGGUUCAGAGCCGGAUGGGCUUGUUUUGGACAUCACUGUUGCCUUCACUCAGCAGCCAUGGGAGAGUGCUCCCCGUGCAACUCCACAUUAGAAACCACGUCAGAUACUGAGUAGCUUGCUGACUCCUGGAAACUUCUGGUUUUUGUUAGUAUCAUAAUGAAGGCAAAGAACUAGGCUGUCAUCUUUCAGCCUCUUUGACUUACUCUAGAUGUUGGGAGCAGUGGUUGCCAGGUGAAACCUGGGCCCUUUGUCUUUUUCACCAUGCUUUGGGCAGUUUCUGUAUCCAGAGAGUCCGCAGGUUCACAUAAGCUGAAGAAGACUAAUAGAACAGCAAAGGAAGUGGCUUGAAGGACGUGCCAGUAAGCCCUGUGGUUUGUGCUUAGGUCUCUGCUCUGCCACCCAAGGAACUAGUGAUUCAGCUGGAGACAAAAAGAAGAAUUUGCCAAAUCAGAGAAGAAACCCCAACCCCGGAAAAUCCUCUGUCUCCAGUCUCUAGAGGGGAAGCAGGGACAAUAAGCUAAGGUAGUAUCUUGGCCAUCCCAGGAAACUUGUGGCAUUAGGACGAUGAAGGCCAUGCUUCAGUGUUUUCGUUUCUAUUUCAUGAGACUUUUUGUCUUCCUGCUUACAAGUGGGAAGAUGAUUGACAGCGACUCUACUAUGCAGGGCUGUUGGUACCAACCUGAGCCCUAUAGGUGGUAGUCCCUGGAGAAGUGGUCACAGAAGAUGGAGCUCUGAUCUCCUGCUUACCUCUUCACAACACUUGUGUGCAAAGAUAGUUUUAGAUUUGGUUUAGAAACUAUCCUCCAGAACAGGCUCCCAUACUUAGAAUGUUUCUAGUUAAGGUAAUAAAUUAGGCAACCCAAGUGUGACUCCACUCAAGUGUCCUUUUCUGUAGGCAGGAAGGGCCCACAACAUGGCUUAAAAUAUAGUCCAUGGUUCUGGCCCACAGUACAGUGUGUAUCUAUACCAGGUCACCUGUGUUCAAUCUGGGAGCCUUCCUGGCCAGUCUGAGUGGCAGCCAGAAGGGAGCUCAUAGUGUCUAGGAGUCUCAGGCAAGGUAGGUCAGGGUACUGUGGGCAGGGGGGAUGUAUGUGAUAGGAGAGGGUACCCUAAACACCAUACCUCCCCUCCCUGACCUGAAAAGCUGAUCUCAACAGGGAUUCACACAGAAUUAGGCUGUGUUUUUGCAUUAGCUGGUAGGUGACUUUUUCAAAAUUCUUAAAUUCAGGAAGUAUUUAGUAAACUUGAGGAAGGUAUGAAAUCUGGAGGAGGCAUCCAGGACCCAGGGGUUUGAUAGCUUUACAGGUAGGAUCAUACCACACCAAAAGAGCAGUGGAUAAUAAGACUAUAUGAGCUAUAUGAAGCUUUUAGGAAUCAUUUAGGACCGACAGAGCCCUAAACAACCCAUUCAUGACUUAAGUUGUUGGCUCAGUGUAUGCUGGGGACAAAGAAAAACUAACAAGCCCACCUGCCUUUAUGGUAAAUUCUAGUGUGCUUACAAGGGAUGACUUCCUGUCCACCUUGAAGAACUCCGUAACUGAAGAAGGGGAGCUGUGAGAAUGUGGAUUGUUCUACACCUUGGACAGGGUAACAGAGGAAGUGGCUGAGGCCUAGAGUCAUGUUUUCCAGUUCCCUUCACAAACUGUAUUUCUUGGAACGCAAAAGGAAGCUUUACCUAUUUCAUAGAAGACCUGGAAUCCAUAACCUCAGAAGGCGAUAUUAUUGAUAGAAAAUGUGGAAGGAUCAGGAAGUUCUUAGAUUCUUGGAUGACAGAUGCAUGUUGAUGCCCUAUGGAGAUGUCCUUGUGUUUUGAGGUCACUGAGGUAGGAAGACCUGUCUACUCUUGGUCUCACCACUAGAACAGUCUUGGGCCGGAUGGGUCUAGAGCUGAGCGGCUGUGAUGGUUCUGUUCUUACAUUAACAAAAACAAUUAAAAACACCAAAAACAA
rnacentral:sRNA from 1 species